rnacentral:rRNA from 1 species
GACGAACGCUGGCGGCGUGCCUAAUACAUGCAAGUAGAACGCACAGUUUAUACCGUAGCUUGCUACACCAUAGACUGUGAGUUGCGAACGGGUGAGUAACGCGUAGGUAACCUGCCUGGUAGCGGGGGAUAACUAUUGGAAACGAUAGCUAAUACCGCAUAAUAUUAAUUAUUGCAUGAUAAUUAAUUGAAAGGUGCAAUUGCACCACUACCAGAUGGACCUGCGUUGUAUUAGCUAGUAGGUGAGGUAACGGCUCACCUAGGCGACGAUACAUAGCCGACCUGAGAGGGGGAUCGGCCACACUGGGACUGAGACACGGCCCAGACUCCUACGGGAGGCAGCAGUAGGGAAUCUUCGGCAAUGGACGGAAGUCUGAACGAGCAACGCCGCGGGAGUGAAGAAGGUUGUCGGAUCGUAAAGCUCUGUUGUAAGAGAAGAACGGGUGUGAGAGUGGAAAGUUCACACUGUGACGGUAGCUUACCAGAAAGGGACGGCUAACUACGUG